rnacentral:hammerhead_ribozyme from 1 species
AUCCAACUAACGAGUCCCAAAUGAAACGAAACGAGCGUCCUGGAU